rnacentral:rRNA from 1 species
AAGACGGUCUUGCUGUCACUUAUAGAUGGAUCCGCGCUGCAUUAGCUAGUUGGUAAGGUAACGGCUUACCAAGGCAACGAUGCAUAGCCGACCUGAGAGGGUGAUCGGCCACACUGGAACUGAGACACGGUCCAGACUCCUACGGGAGGCAGCAGUAGGGAAUCUUCCGCAAUGGGCGAAAGCCUGACGGAGCAACGCCGCGUGAGUGAUGAAGGUCUUCGGAUCGUAAAACUCUGUUAUUAGGGAAGAACAUAUGUGUAAGUAACUGUGCACAUCUUGACGGUACCUAAUCAGAAAGCCACGGCUAACUACGUGCCAGCAGCCGCGGUAAUACGUAGGUGGCAAGCGUUAUCCGGAAUUAUUGGGCGUAAAGCGCGCGUAGGCGGU